AUACGUAGGGAGCGAGCGUUAUCCGGAUUUACUGGGUGUAAAGGGCGCGCAGGCGGGAAAACAAGUUGGGAGUGAAAUCCGGGGGCUCAACCCCCCGAACUGCUUUCAAAACUGUUUUUCUUGAGUGAUGGAGAGGCAGGCGGAAUUCCCAGUGUAGCGGUGAAAUGCGUAGAUAUUGGGAGGAACACCAGUGGCGAAGGCGGCCUGCUGGACAUUAACUGACGCUGAGGCGCGAAAGCGUGGGGAGC
rnacentral:rRNA from 1 species